CNCAAAGCAAGGAAACAAGACGAGUUCUCAGCUGGGAGUAGGAUGAUAUUUACCCUGCUGGAAUCUGAUUCUCUGCACCUUCAUUCCAAGGCCUCACAUCGUUGUUGUGCAGACGCUUUCCCUCGUCCCGCCGGGCCCGAGCUGUGCAGAGAGUGUAAAGAUGGCUUUUUCCCUGCAGGAAGGAGGAAACAAGAUUAUGUUUUUUUUUCAAUUAGGUAGAGACUUGGGGGAAAAAAACAUGCAAGCGUUCGCAGGUAGCUGCAGUGACUGAUCUAGAGUUUUUCUUUUUCUCUUUUUUUUGGAAUGGCAAAGAUGAGGCACGAGGUUUUUAUUUUUCCUAGGAAAAGUUUACUUUUCGACCUAAAUUCAUGCAUUUUUGUUAGGGAUGUCCCGAUACCAAUUUUUCUCAAAGUAAAUACAGUGCAAGCUUCAAACUCACUUUGAGUCUUCCACCACUUCUCAUCACAACCCGCCGGAGAACUCAUGGAUGGAGAUAGAACAGAUGUUGUGAACAGAGGAAUCUGUCUUUAACCGUGUAGAAUCGAGCAGGAGGAAACCAUGCGCACUGCAGCAGGAGGGGUUUCCCAGGAGUUUGGCGCGGGGUAUGUGAGUGAAAAACAAUUUUGAACAACAACCUCUAAGGUCUCUCUUGUACAUGAGAUCAUGGAUCUCAAUGAGACCACCUGUUUAAAUGACAACCAUGCGAUCGUGCAUCGACUGUUUAGCUUCAUAUGAAGUAUAAUGGGCCCUUUAGAACCCAAACAUGACUGUAAAAACACAUUUAUUUUAUUUAGAACAAGGUGUCUCUCUUUCCUUUUA